CCCUACGGGGUGCAGCAGGAGCCACCGCAAAUGAUGCUUGAUGAUCGGAUUCUCCGGAGCUAUUACCUGUCGUUUAUGUGGAUUUCCACAUAAACCGCUAAGAAAGGCAUGAACAUGGAAUGGAAGAUCAUUGUGUUUGCGGUCGUGUGCGUGGCCCUGCUCGCCUGCAUGUGGCGAGGCGGGCCGUGCUGCACCUUGUGGAGGCGGUGCAGAGAGCGCCUGGGAAAGAGGCCACUUGGGAGCAAGAAUGGUCCCGGCGAGGAAUUGGCGGGGGGGC
rnacentral:rRNA from 1 species